rnacentral:rRNA from 1 species
UACGUAGGGUGCGAGCGUUGUCCGGAAUUACUGGGCGUAAAGAGCUCGUAGGUGGUUUGUCGCGUUGUCCGUGAAAACUCACAACUCAAUUGUGGGCGUGCGGGCGAUACGGGCAGACUGGAGUACUGCAGGGGAGACUGGAAUUCCUGGUGUAGCGGUGAAAUGCGCAGAUAUCGGGAGGAACACCGGUGGCGAAGGCGGUUCUCUGGGCCUGACCUGACGCUGAGGAGCGAAAGCGUGGGGAGCGAACAGG